rnacentral:rRNA from 1 species
CAGCCGCCACGGUAAUACGGAGGGGGCUAGCGUUGUUCGGAUUUACUGGGCGUAAAGCGCACGUAGGCGGAUCGAUCAGUCAGGGGUGAAAUCCCAGAGCUCAACUCUGGAACUGCCUUUGAUACUGUCGAUCUGGAGUAUGGAAGAGGUGAGUGGAAUUCCGAGUGUAGAGGUGAAAUUCGUAGAUAUUCGGAGGAACACCAGUGGCGAAGGCGGCUCACUGGUCCAUUACUGACGCUGAGGUGCGAAAGCGUGGGGAGCAAACGGGAUUAGAGACCCCUGUAGUCCCUGUCUCUUAUAC